rnacentral:piRNA from 1 species
CUGUCCAUGAUGGGUGAAGAGUCUGAGACA